rnacentral:misc_RNA from 1 species
UGGCUUUCUGAAUAAGGUAGUACAGCUCGUCAAGAUGAACUAAAAAGGAUGAGAUAUAAUUAAUCUAUCAUCCAGCAGUCACAGGGCUGCUUCAAUAUAUAAAUGACGUAUGCAUUGAGGUGGUUGAGCAAUGUAAAAACAAUUAGAAUCGCACCCCAAGACCUCCUAUGAAGAUUUUUGGAUCUCAUCCAUUAUUAUAUAUAUAUUUUUUCUUAAUGAAUUACUGCUUUUGUUAGUCGCUUAACAAAGUUGAGAGAAGCAGCUCCUGCACAAAACCAGCUCUUCCAACAGCCUGCCUCAUCCUUUUCUCCCUUUCUUCAUAACUCAAAGAAGGAUCGAAACGUGAUCGCCACAUAUAUGCUGGUGCUGCAUUUUUUGCAGGACUAUCUUCCACACUUGUUGCCACAGAUUUCGAAAUUUCUUCAGCUUCAGAUGCAGGGAAAUUCAAAAUAAGUGAUGAAAGGAAUGGGUCAGUAGCUGCAUUAGACACAUUAGCAUUGCUUGACCUAUAUCCACCACCCCCUCAGAGCACUUGUAAAUGAGCCUCACGAAGAUCUAGACCAAGUAAAGACAAUGCCUGACUGUUUGGAAUUGCAACUCUACGCAAUCUGCGACGUCUCUGCAACUUGAACAAGUGUCCAUGUUGCAGUGUGAUAUGACUUAGCAUGUCCUGUGCAACUUUAACAGAGCAAAUAGGACAAACGGUGACUUUGGACUCGCAAGAGUGCUCAUCUUCGAGGUGGGAACACAGAGAUGCGAUGUCGAAAUCUUCGUAACAAUAGGGACAUGGGAAAUCGGGUCGGACCUCGUCUUCUACCUCGAAAUCAUCGAUGCUCAACCGAUCUAAGUGGGAACUCUGAAUCUGAUGAUGGUGCUGCAAGGUGUAUUGCCUUUUUGCGGCAGCUAGGCGAGAGGUCCAGAAAUCAGAGUCCAUUUCCCUUGAAAGAUC